rnacentral:misc_RNA from 1 species
UCCCCGUUACCGGGGCAGUCUGAAUAGAAAAAUACAACUAUUCACAAGGGUUGCGCUCGUUGAUGGACUUAACCAAACAUCUCACGACACGAGCUGACGACGGCCAUGCAACAUCUGUCACUUGGCUCAAUAAAGCACUCACUACUUUCGUAGUAAUUCCAAGGAUGUCAAACCCUGGUAAGGUUCUUCGUUUAUCAUCGAAUUAAAGAACACGAUCCACCGCUUGUGCGGGUCCCCGUCAAUUCCUUUAUGUUUUAGUCUUGCGACCGUACUCCACAGGCGGGAUACUUAACGCGUUAGCUUCGCUACUGGGGGGGUCGAUACCCCCAACAGCUAGUAUCCAUCGUUUACGGCGUGGACUAC